rnacentral:lncRNA from 1 species
GGGAGAGCUGCUCAUAGAGGGUUGCUGGCAUUUACACUCCUAACUCGGCUUUGGAAUCUGUGAUCUCUCAUCAAAUCCACACCUUUUGCUUUGUUUCAGAGUUGCCUGGACAGGAGGUCGCUUGGGAAGGUUUCUUCUUCCUUAUUCUCUGCCUGGAAUUGUCUAGGGAUUGCUGGCUGAUGCCCAGAUCACCAAGGCUCUCCCUGAGUGAAAUCCCAGGGAUCAUCCUGUGACUGGAGGUGAUUCUUGGAGUGGGGAAAAUUUCCUCCCAGAGAUUUGCAUCAUAUUCCCCAGGCAGGUGCAAGGCCGAGCCCUGAACAGAGCUGGUAUUAUUCGGAUGAGAAGAAAUAAGUGAUUUCCAGGGGCCAAGGCUUUAUUUCUUACAUUGACAUAACAUUCCAGCUGUGGGAAAUAGACAUUUCAUUGAUUUACUGUGGCGGUAGCUCUCUGCAGGCUCCUGAAUGCUUAUGGCUAUGAAUCACUUUUACUUUGUCUCUAUGGACAAAUCCCCAGCAAGGUAAGGAGGCAUCCUGCCAAAUCCAGAUAUGCUGUUUAGGUGAUGGAAUAAAUUUAAAUUUUUUGAGGAUCAAAUUAAUUUUUCUGACCUAGACAAUCCCUCUCUUCCAAAGAAAACUAUUCUGAAAGAUUUAUAGAAGCUAUUCAAGGAUAUUUGGAUCUUAUGCAAGUUUGACUUAAUCUUACCUGUUCUAGUAGAGCUUUAGGAAUUACAUUUUCUAUAAACUAACAAGAAAUGAGAGAAAGUAGUGCUUGAUAUGCACUUUUGACUCUCUCACAGCCCAGAAACUUAAAGACCAGCCGUUUUAUGAGCUGUAUUUUAUAAACUCUGUAUAUCCAAUUGUGUUCCUUUCUUCUUUCUUUGUUUUUUAAAAUUAGAAUUCUUUCCUUUAAGAAUCAACAUUGGUGUUUAAUAAAUCAUUAUUUACAACAAUGCUAUAGAAAGCUUUCUAAAUUGCUAAUGACUCAAAUAAAUGAGACAAUACAGCAAGUAUAUAAAAUCAAAUAUACAGAUAAGUCACAACUUUAAAAUUCCCACUUGACUUUUCUUCUGUCCCUGAGGACUGCAAAUAAUACUGCCAUAACAAAAUACCAUAGGUUGCAUGACUUAAACAACAGGGAUUUUUUUCUCACAGUUUUGUGGACUGGAAGUCUGAGAUCAGGGUGUCA